rnacentral:rRNA from 1 species
CACACGAAGUCGGAGUUGCUAGUAAUCCCGAAUCAGCAUGUCGGGGUGAAUGCGUUCCCGGGUCUUGUACACACCGCCCGUCACGCCAUGGGAGUUGGGAGUGCCCAAAGUCGGUGACCUAACCGCAAGGAAGGAGCCGCCUAAGGUAAUACCAAUGACUGGGGUGAAGUCGUAACAAGGUACC